UACGGAGGGUGCAAGCGUUGCUCGGAAUUAUUGGGCGUAAAGGGUAGGUAGGUGGUCUCAUUUGUCCGGGGUGAAAGCCUUGAGCUUAACUCAAGAAGUGCCCCAGAAACGGUGAGACUGGAGUCCUGGAGAGGGUCGUGGAAUUCCCGGUGUAGCGGUGAAAUGCGUAGAGAUCGGGAGGAACACCUGAGGCGAAGGCGGGCUACUGGGCCGAUACUGACGCUGAUGUGCGAAAGCCAGGGGAGCGAACGGG
rnacentral:rRNA from 1 species